GCACGAGCUGGGCAUGAGUGAGCCCUCCCGCCUGUAAAGCGGGCGCUUCGGCUGUGGUGGUGCAACUCCACCCUCGUGCA
rnacentral:tRNA from 1 species